ensembl:lincRNA
CUCAUUGGCUACAACAACAUUGAUGCAUUUUUUGCGCGAAGAUGGAGGCCUCCCUUUGUCUUCGCCAAAGCCAGUAGGUCAGUGGUUGUCAAAGGCGACAAUGCAUCGGUAUUGUCUGAAGAACUUUUCAAAUACCUGCUCCUUUCUAGGAUCCAGACACAGGAUAAGAAAUAUGCAGUCAUUGAAGAAAAGUCAGAAAAUAUAUAAAAGCAAAAAGAAGGAAGCAACAACAUUGGAAAUGGCCUGAAGCCACAGAUACAUGUGGGGAAUGACCUUUCCAUGCCUGUGUGGUUUAUUGGGAUUAU